rnacentral:rRNA from 1 species
GACGAACGCUGGCGGCGUGCUUAACACAUGCAAGUCGAGCGGAGAUUGCAUUUAUGUAAUUUUAGCGGCGGACGGGUGAGUAACGCGUAGGCAACCUGCCUUGCACAGAGGGAUAACACCGGGAAACUGGUGCUAAUACCACAUGAUAUCAUAACAAGGCAUCUUGAAAUGAUCAAAGGAUAAAUCCGGUGCAAGAUGGGCCUGUGUCCGAUUAGUUAGUUGGUGAGGUAACGGCUCACCAAGGCGACGAUCGGUAGCCGAACUGAGAGGUUGAUCGGCCACAUUGGGACUGAGACACGGCCCAGACUCCUACGGGAGGCAGCAGUGGGGAAUAUUGCGCAAUGGGGGGAACCCUGACACAGCAACGCCGCGUGAAGGAAGAAGGCCUUCGGGUUGUAAACUUUUUUGAUUGGGGAAGAAAAAAAUGACGGUACCCAAGGAACAAGCCACGGCUAACUACGUGCCAGCAGCCGCGGUAAUACGUAGGUGGCGAGCGUUGUCCGGAAUUACUGGGUGUAAAGGGCGUGUAGGCGGGAUUGUAAGUCAGAUGUGAAAUUCCAGGCUUAACUCUGGAGGUGCAUCUGAAACUAUAAUUCUUGAGUGCUGGAGAGGAAAGCGGAAUUUCCUAGUGUAGCGGUGAAAUGCGUAGAUAUUAGGAAGAACACCAGUGGCGAAGCGGCUUUCUGGACAGUAACUGACGCUGAGCGCGAAAGCGUGGGGAGCAA